AUGGAAUGUUCUUUGCCGUUUGGAGGAAAGGUUGUUGUCUUUGGUGGUGAUUUCAGGCAGGUCCUACCCGUUGUGACACGUGGGACAAGAGCACAGGCUGAUCCUUGGUUCUCAGAAUACCUACUAAGGAUAGGCAAUGGAACUGAAGAGACAAUUGGCGACGAUUAUGUCCGUCUCCCUGACGAUAUUGUCAUUGGCUAUAACGAUGAUGAAAAAGCUAUUAACAUGCUCAUCGAAAAUGUCUUCCCAUCUUUGCAGGCCAAUGCAAGAUCGAGAGAGUACAUGAGUGCACGUGCUAUUCUUUCAACCAAAAACGAUCAUGUCGAUGACCUGAAUGACAAGAUGAUCUCCAGGUUUCCAGGCGAAGAAAAGUUAUACCAUAACUGUCCGGUCAUUCUGCUCCGGAACCUCGACCCUCAUAAUGGCCUAUGCAAUGGAACACGGCUUAUGAUCAGAGCCUUUCAGGAUAAUGCAAUUGAUGCGGAGAUUGUUGGUGGUCAGCAUGCUGGAAAGAGGGUGUUUAUACCUAGGAUCCCUAUGUCGCCCUCGGAGGACAUCUCACUUCCUUUCAAACUUAAGAGAAAACAGUUCCCCAUCCGCCUGAGUUUUGCGAUGACAAUUAACAAGGCACAGGGUCAGACCAUCCCAAAUGUCGGCAUUUACCUUUCCGAGCCAGUAUUCUCAGAUGGUCAGCUCUAUGUUGCAUUGUCAAGAGGAGUGUCGAGAGAGACGACGCGGAUUUUGGCCAAGCCAAACAAAGAUGUUGAUAAAUCCGGGAAAAGCACCAAGAACAUUGUCUACAGAGAUGUUUUGGAGAGAUGA
rnacentral:rRNA from 1 species